AAGUAUGGCCCUGUGUGUGGCCUCUAGAAGGACCUUAUGGCUUCAUUCACGGUGAGCCAACUAUGCCUCCAAGGCAUCUUUGUGUGGCCUUCCAUUCCAGGGGGAUUUAUUAUUCGGUAAGAUUCUGGAGGACGCCAUACAAAAGGCUGCAGAUGGCAAAAAAAGUUUUUUUGCCGCAAGAAAGAAGAAAGGCUUUUCCUCUUCCUGGAAGACUAA